GCUCACAUAUUUCUGAAAAUCUAGUCAUAUUUGCUAACUUCCACAUGUAAGCCUGCAGAAAUGUACUACUCCCUCUGUAACUUUUUAUAGGACGUUUUUAAGUCCAUGGCAGUGUCAAAAAAUAUCUUAUAUUAAGUUAGAGGGAGUACUAUUUAGGAUUGAAGGUUUAAUAGGAAAUAAUUACUUGAACUGCAGCUUCAACUGCAGCUGCAUUGCAAGGAAGUUUUACUCAUUGUUGGAGAGGGUAGGAUGCGGUUGAAGAGUGAAACCGGUAAUAGCAGAGCAUGGAGAGGCAAGUUAAAUUUCUGCAGGCAUUAGCACCUGCAAAGUUGUGAUGAGGAAGGAAGGAACCUUGCGGGAGAAAGUUCCAGAACAUCCAUGCUUUUCUCUACAAAUUGUUAGUAUCAAUUGAACUUGACUGACUUUGUUAUGAAAAGAUGCAACAUAGUGAACUGUUGAACCUUCCUAUAUACUGAGCUUUGUUAACCAAUAAAUAGUUUGCAUUGUUCUGGCUAAUUUCAAUUUGUAUGCUGAACUUUAAGUAUCUACUCGGCUUUGAAAGCAAAGAUGGAUAAUUCUUCUCACAGUAUGAGCUCUCUUUGGCAGCACAGCUGAGGGUGAGCAACAGGCGGAGCUGGACGCGCCAUGGAGUUUCAACAUGGGAAGAUGGAAUGGAACACUGCUUCUGAAAAGCAGGAUUGAAACAACCCGCUUCGCUGUAUGUUGGUUUCUAUGGAGAGAGCAAGUGAAAUCGUUGAAAUAGAGACAGAGACUGCAUAACUCAUCAACGUUGCGACAACAUUCUCUGCGCUUGUACAGGCGGGUAACCCCUUUCUCUCUUUUGCUCACGUAUUGGUGCAACUCUAGUUUAGAUUUCUGACCUUUCUUCUUAUCCCAGGUGGGAUGGCACAACUGUUGGUCUGGUAAGCUAAGACAGCAAUCAGACUGAGUCGUGAUGGGAGUAGAAGGCUAAGGUCAGAGUUCUCUGUCAGAUGGAACAAUGAAUGACAGAAUGAAUAAUCGUGAUGGGAGUAUGAUACACAUUGUUUUCGCUAUUGUAUUUCUGAGUGCCAGCUAGAGAUGGCAUCGGACCAAUGUACAGUAUUUGUGAUGUACAUGCUUGUUUUCAUGGUGCACUCAGAAUCGUUGUGUGUGUGCUCAUAAGAUAGCUAAUAAUUACUUGGCUUGUUUGCAUAUCUAAUAAAUGCUACAUGUUCUUCACUUGA